GACGUAGGGGACGAGCGUUGUCCGGAUUCAUUGGGCGUAAAGCGCGCGUAGGCGGCCACGCAAGUCGGGUGUGAAAUCCCGGAGCUCAACUCCGGAACUGCACUCGAAACUGCGCGGCUUGAGGUAGGUAGGGGAGAUCGGAAUUCCUGGUGUAGCGGUGGAAUGCGCAGAUAUCAGGAGGAACACCGGUGGCGAAGGCGGAUCUCUGGGCCUUGCCUGACGCUGAGACGCGAAAGCUAGGGGAGCGAACAGG
rnacentral:rRNA from 1 species